CUCGUAGGCGGUUUGUCGCGUCUGCUGUGAAAUCCUCAGGCUCAACUUGAGGCGUGCAGUGGGUACGGGCAGACUAGAGUGCGGUAGGGGAGACUGGAAUUCCUGGUGUAGCGGUGGAAUGCGCAGAUAUCAGGAGGAACACCGAUGGCGAAGGCAGGUCUCUGGGCCGUUACUGACGCUGAGGAGCGAAAGCAUGGGGAGCGAACA
rnacentral:rRNA from 1 species